rnacentral:sRNA from 1 species
GCCAGGCUUGGUGGUGCAAACCUGUAAUCCCAGCGGCUAGGGAGGCUGAGGCAGGAGGAUUGUGAGUUCAAAGCCAGCCUCAGCAAAAGCAAGGCUCUAAGCAACUCAGUGAGACCCUGUCUCUA